UGGGGAAUAUUGCACAAUGGGCGCAAGCCUGAUGCAGCCAUGCCGCGUGUGUGAAGAAGGCCUUCGGGUUGUAAAGCACUUUCAGCGAGGAGGAAGGUGGUGAACUUAAUACGUUCAUCAAUUGACGUUACUCGCAGAAGAAGCACCGGCUAACUCCGUGCCAGCAGCCGCGGUAAUACGGAGGGUGCAAGCGUUAAUCGGAAUUACUGGGCGUAAAGCGCACGCAGGCGGUUUGUUAAGUCAGAUGUGAAAUCCCCGGGCUCAACCUGGGAACUGCAUUUGAAACUGGCAAGCUAGAGUCUCGUAGAGGGGGGUAGAAUUCCAGGUGUAGCGGUGAAAUGCGUAGAGAUCUGGAGGAAUACCGGUGGCGAAGGCGGCCCCCCUGGACGAAGACUGACGCUCAGGUGCGAAAGCGUGGGGCAGCAAACAGGAUUAGAUACCCUGGUAGUCCACGCUGUAAACGAUGUCGAUUUGGAGGUUGUGCCCUUGAGGCGUGGCUUCCGGAGCUAACGCGUUAAAUCGACCGCC
rnacentral:rRNA from 1 species